rnacentral:lncRNA from 1 species
CCAUCAAAAACCCCUCUCUGCCUCCUCACCCCUUUCCGCCUCAUCUCCGGCAACCACCGUGCUAUCGUAGCCUAGAAUUAUCUUCCCAAAUUAGCCAGAUUCUCUUCAUCACUAAUCUCCUGUAUUUUUUUGUCCUGGAAGUUGUUGGCUCGCUUGCCGUCGGAUUACUCCAUUAUCAGCCACAGCCUGCCGCCGCCGCCGCCACCUCUAGUGAGUUCCUUUUCCUCCACUUGGUCUUUCUCUUGGCCAUGGAAGU